GACAGAGGGUGCUAACGUUGUUCGGAAUUACUGGGCGUAAAGCGCGUGUAGGCGGCUCGGAAAGUCGGGUGUGAAAGCCCUGGGCUCAACCUAGGAAGUGCACUCGAAACUUCCGAGCUGGAGUUCUGGAGAGGAAGGCGGAAUUCUCGGUGUAGAGGUGAAAUUCGUAGAUAUCGAGAGGAACACCGGUGGCGAAGGCGGCCUUCUGGACAGCAACUGACGCUGAGACGCGAAAGCGUGGGGAGCAAACAGG
rnacentral:rRNA from 1 species